AGUCUAUGGUAUGGCCACCUUCUUAACAACUCUCUAAAUCUUUUCCAUACUUCAUAUAAUGACUCACCUACAUGUUGACUAAAACUGGUGAUAUCUAUUCUAAGUUU